GGCAUCACAAGAUUUAGAGCCCUUUCUUCCACGACCCAUGCAAAGGUAUCGAAUGCAGAUGGGGGCGGAUGGGGUAGUGGGAGGAGCGGGGGUCGAAGAAAUUGAAGUCUCUUGCAGAAGCAGUAGGGGAUUCUUCUGCUCUUUAGAAGGAUCAUCGCAUAACAUAGUUGUUGGAAAGGACGGAGGACCGGGGAUCUUUAUCUUUGCUGCUGGCGGGCGCUGAUUUGGAACCGUUGCAUCCACUGGCGGACGCAGGAAUUGGUGGAGAAGCGGCUAGCUGUGAGAAGGGAUUUGGGGAAGGAUUUGAGAGGGGAUUCUGCACAUAAUCGAGGGAGGAGGGAGUGGCGGAUGUGAUAGGAUUCGAAGGGAGAUUUAGGGAGGGAUUUGAGGAGGUAAUUUGGGGGAG
rnacentral:lncRNA from 1 species